rnacentral:rRNA from 1 species
UACGUAGGGUGCGAGCGUUGUCCGGAAUUAUUGGGCGUAAAGGGCUCGUAGGCGGUUUGUCACGUCGGGAGUGAAAACUCGGGGCUUAACCCCGAGCCUGCUUCCGAUACGGGCAGACUAGAGGUAUGCAGGGGAGAACGGAAUUCCUGGUGUAGCGGUGAAAUGCGCAGAUAUCAGGAAGAACACCCGUGGCGAAGGCGGCUCUCUGGAACGCAACUGACGCUGAGACGCGAAAGCGUGGGGAGCAAACAGG